AUGUGUAGCUAAAUGUUUGUUUUUGAGACAGGGUUGACCUUUAAGUCUCCAUUGUUCUGCUGUAGACUCCCAAGCACUGAGAUUACAGAUGUGUAUUUAACUCUCAUUUGAAUCCUCAACCAAGCAUCACUAUUGAAAAGGAGGGGGUGUGGAAAUUUGCUAGUACAUAUUGUAAACAUCAUGAACGUAUUGAAGCAUCCAUCUUUAUUGGAGACAGCACAGACAUUGCGAUUUCUUUUUAUUCAUAAAGCUGUCAUGAGGUUAUGUAGCUCAAAUUCUAGAUCAAGUCUUUUUAAAAACUCAGAUUCCAGCUCUAUGUGGUGGCACAAACCUUUGAUCCCAGCACACCCAAGAGAUGGAGGCAAGCAGAUCCCCGAGUUUCAGGCCAGCUGGGAUUACAUGAUGAGACCCUGAAGCACAUUGCCAGUGUCUAGUCCAGGCCUGUGGGAUCUAGGUGUGUGGAAGUGGGAUGGUAGCAUUCCCAAUUGGAGGAAGUAUACCUGUGAGAAAAAACCCACUCGUUCAAAACAAAACAAGAGAACCCAAAAGGUUGGGGAAUGCUGAUGUCUGUCUUGACUUUGUAGAGGAGAUAUCAAAGGCACAGUGAAACGAAGGAGCUCAAGUCAGGUCUCCUGCGUCCUGGUUUACUCUCUGUACUUUAAAUCAAGAUCUGUGAGGUUGCAAGAGCAAGGGUGCUUUGAUGCCUUCAUAACAGGAGUGACCAGUUGGCAUUCAGUGGUGUAAAAAGUUAGGGCGUGGGCGGGAGAGGUGGCACAGAGGUCAUGAGUGCUGGCUGCUCUUGCAGAGGAUCUGGGUUCGAUUCCCAGCACUCAUACAGCAGCGCACAGCCUUCUAUAACUCAGUUCAGAGCAUCCGAACUCAUUUCUGUGGGCAUCGGGCACACACGUGAUGGACAGACAGACAUACAUGCAGACAGAACACCCAGACACAAAAUAAAAACAAAAUUUUUUUAUUAGAUAUUUUCUUCAUUUACAUUUCAAAUGCUAUCCUGAAAGUCCCUUAUACCCUCUCCCCACUUCAAACAACUCUUUUUUAAAAAAACUGAUGUUUGGAAAAAAAAAAAAAAAAGAGAGAGAAAAGAGAAGCUAGCGUGUCCUAAAACAUGGUGAAGGACCAGCUUUGUAAAGAGUUCCCACUUACCCCAACCGUCAUCUAAAAAUGAACAGAAAAGGCUUGGGCUUGAAUGUCACCGCAGUGUCAAAGUGCUAUGAAAAUGUCCAAGUGUAUGUACGUGGUUCUCUGUCUCCCUUGAUGGAUCAAAGCGCACUUUGAGUAGCGUUGUUCUAGGUGGCUCUGAGGACAUCUCAGGAAUUCAGAGAUGCAGGUCUUCCAUCCUUUCUCUCUAGUGCCACCUGUAACUGUAGCAACGGAGACUCUGGGUCCUCCCCAGGAGAGGUGGUUGUCUACCACCUGGGGACUCCUAGGUCAGAACCAUGACUGUAAUACAGUGCGAUGACAUUGCCUCCGAUGUAUUUAAGAAUAAGUUGCAGAGCUGCAGCAGGAGGCAUAUUCAGCUCCUGUGGCUAAAUAGCACCAACUUCGAGGCCCUCACGGAACUCACCUCUGACAAAGAUACUGAAAGAGAACAGGCCGGGCGGUGGUGGCGCAUGCCUUUAAUCCCAGCACUCGGAAGGCAGCCUGAUCUACAAAGUGAGUUCCAGGAUAGCCAGAGCUACAUAGAGGAGAAACCCUGUCUCGAAAAACCAC
rnacentral:lncRNA from 1 species